ACAAGGCUCUGCUUUCAAAGGCUUUCACAAUUCAUUAACUUCAAAGGAACGGCCUCUAUUUUCUUAGCAGGUCGGUCAUUCCACAGACUUACUCUGGGUGCUGAAGGUGGCUGUGCUCAUGCCAGAAGGCUGGAGCAGCUGCAGGGCCCAGUGUCACACACAGAGCUGUGGAGAGGGGCACAGGAACAGUCCAUAGUCAGUGUUACGCCUAAGGAGGAGAACAGGAUAACCUGGAAAGCUUUGGGGUGGGUGAUUCUGAAUUGGAACAGAAACAGGUUUCAAAAUGUUUUGCAAAGGCAGAACUUCAUCCCUGUUGCCAAGUGGGAAGUGGCCAAGGGAGAAAAAAAGCCCUAUCAGACCCACCUGGGAGCCUGCUUGCCAGAAGGAGAAAUGGCACAAGAGGAAAUACAUCUUCACAGCCUCGAGAGAGGAGAAGGUUGGAAUCUGAGUCCAUAAACAGAGGUGCUCUGCAGUGAGCAAAGACAGAGCAGGUUGGGCUCUGGAGAGUGUAACCCCCCUCUGCUGCUCCACUGCCAAUUAAAAAUAAAGAAGUGUAACCUGUUUGUUUUCCCCUCUCA
rnacentral:lncRNA from 1 species